AACGAACGCUGGCGGCGGGCUUAACACAUGCAAGUCGAACGCAUCGCAAGAUGAGUGGCAGACGGGUGAGUAACGCGUGGGAACAUACCCUUUUCUACGGAAUAGCUCUGGGAAACUGGAAUUAAUACCGUAUACGCCCUACGGGGGAAAGAUUUAUCGGGGAAGGAUUGGCCCGCGUUGGAUUAGCUAGUUGGUGGGGUAAAGGCCUACCAAGGCGACGAUCCAUAGCUGGUCUGAGAGGAUGAUCAGCCACAUUGGGACUGAGACACGGCCCAAACUCCUACGGGAGGCAGCAGUGGGGAAUAUUGGACAAUGGGCGCAAGCCUGAUCCAGCCAUGCCGCGUGAGUGAUGAAGGCCUUAGGGUUGUAAAGCUCUUUCACCGAUGAAGAUAAUGACGGUAGUCGGAGAAGAAGCCCCGGCUAACUUCGUGCCAGCCGCCGCCGUAA
rnacentral:rRNA from 1 species